rnacentral:rRNA from 1 species
GGGGGGGGGGGGGGGGGGGGGGAGGGGGUGGAGGGGGAGGGGGAGCAGAGUAGUGGCGGGCGGUUAUGGGGGGGGAGUGGGGGACGGGGGGGGAGUACGUGGGAAUCGACGUUUUAGGAGGGGAUAAAGUAGGGGGGCUUCCGCUAGUACCGCGUACGCCGUACGGGUGAAUGCAGGUGAACUUCGGACCUGGCGCGAUUGCAUGAGCGGAUGUCGGAUUAGACGUGUGGAGGUGUAAAGGGCCACGCAGUCGACGAUCAGUAGCUGGUCUGAUAGGAUGAGCAGCCACACUGGAACUGAGACACGUGCCAGACUCCUACGGGAGGCCGCAGUGGGGAAUAUUGGACAAUGGGCGCAAGCAUGAUCCAGUCAUACCGCGUGGGUGAAGAAGGCCUUCGGGUUGUAAAGCCCUUUUGUUGGGAAAGAAAAGCAGCAGGUUAAUACCCCGCUGUUCUGACGGUACCCAAAGAAUAAGCACCGGCUAACUUCGUG